rnacentral:rRNA from 1 species
ACCACAGUCCUGAUGCAGCCAUGCCGCGUGUAUGAAGAAGGCCUUCGGGUUGUAAAGUACUUUCGGCGGGGAGGAAGGGAGUAAAGUUAAUACCUUUGCUCAUUGACGUUACCCGCAGAAGAAGCACCGGCUAACUCCGUGCCAGCAGCCGCGGUAAUA